rnacentral:rRNA from 1 species
GUAGCAAAUAUUCAAAUGAGAACUUUGAAGACUGAAGUGGGGAAAGGUUCCACGUCAACAGCAGUUGGACGUGGGUUAGUCGAUCCUAAGAGAUGGGGAAGCUCCGUUUCAAAGGCCUGAUUUUAUGCAGGCC